rnacentral:tRNA from 1 species
CGCCCGGCCAGGCCGGCCUUGGUGGUGGCGUUGUAGAUGUUCACGGUGACCGUGGCGGGCUGCGGGACGGCGUGCGGGUCGCCCUGGGCGGC